GAUACAACAAAUGUCCUCUCAGUUCUAUAUGGAAUAUUGGAAUGUAUGGAGUUCUAGAUUCAAUUCCAUCUGGCCCUACUGAUGCAUGUGCAAGGUUUGUGUUGGCAUGUGCAUGGAGGAAAUAAUAGAGCAUAAUCCAGUUGUUUAUAUCUAAAUGGCAUUCGUAGUCAAAGGGUUUAGGUUGAGGUACUUGGUAAAUGGAACACGGUUAACCCAGACAACAGGCUUGCUCCAUCGGAAA